CGGAGGAGCAGGGCUUCGGGAGGGCUCAGACCCUCUCCCACACUCGACUUCAAGUGAGGAGGUUUCAGGGCUGCCUUGAAGGUCGUCGGCGUCUGUAUGGGGCACCCAGCCUCCAUUUGUUAUCCCCACACCUCUGAGGAAUUAAAGGGCUCCUUCACCACCUCCUGGAUCAGUCCUGCAAUGAUGCCCUAUCUCCGGCCAGUUACCAAGACAUGCCAACCACACCUGCUCCCACUCAUCCCUUCCCUUGCCCACCAGUGUCUCGGAGAGUCUACAGCAAUGAAACCCACCCAGAAGUCCUGCUCCAAUUGGUUUUCAUGACCAUGUGAUUGACCCUGAAUUGAAACACGAUAAUGGAAUGCUUCUAAAUACACAUUCUUCUUGGAAAAUGUAUGAAGUUUUUUUCUUAAUUUUUUUAAUGGAAUCAGAGGACUUGGUUCUUGGACAGACUGUUGGUGUGAGGGUUCCCGGUGCCACCCAGAGGGAACCCACCUGGUGGGAUGCCAGGCAGCGGGCUGGCCGCGGGGCGGCCCCGAGGCCUGCUUUGAGAGCGUGCCUGUAUCACCGGUGCAGGACAGCGCCCCCUCCCGGAGUGCAGCCUUCUCCAAACCUCCUGCCUCCUCCCCUCUGGCUAUAUGAGUCUGAGGAAGCCAUCCCCAAAGUUUUGAUGCUCCUUUUUUUCUAACUUUGUAUUUUGUAUUGGGGUAUAGCCAAUUAACAAAGAUGUGACAGCUUCAGGUGAGCAGUGAAGGGACUCAGCCAUGCAUAAACAUGCAGCCAUUCUCCCCCAAACUCCCCUCCCAUCCAGGCUGCCACAUAACAC
ensembl:lncRNA